rnacentral:rRNA from 1 species
UACGGAGGGUGCGAGCGUUAAUCGGAAUUACUGGGCGUAAAGCGCACGCAGGCGGUUUGUUAAGCUAGAUGUGAAAGCCCCGGGCUCAACCCGGGAUGGUCAUUUAGAACUGGCAGACUAGAGUCUUGGAGAGGGGAGUGGAAUUCCAGGUGUAGCGGUGAAAUGCGUAGAUAUCUGGAGGAACAUCAGUGGCGAAGGCGACUCCCUGGCCAAAGACUGACGCUCAUGUGCGAAAGUGUGGGUAGCGAACAGG